CUAAAGGCAGAGAAUUUUGGCAAAGAUGAGUAUGUCCUAAGAAACUGGAACUAUCUCACAGCAGAGACAGAGCCCAGAAGUGAGCCUGCCUGGGGGAACAAGAACAUCCAGGCCUGGAAGACAAGCUGAGGGGUGGAUAGAACUGUGUGGGGAGGAGUCUGGUGCUGACUGGUGAAUUCAGAAGCAGGAAAGAGGGACAGAGUGGAUUUUACAACCAGAAUAAAGCUGGGAAAUGCCCCCGUGAAUGGAGCCAAAGAAAG
rnacentral:lncRNA from 1 species